rnacentral:tRNA from 1 species
UAUGCUAUAGCUCAUUAGGUAGAGUAGUUGAUAAAAAAUCAACCUGUUACUGGUUCGAUUCCAGUUAGCAUAC